rnacentral:rRNA from 1 species
GCUUCCUACGGGGCGCAGCAGUGAGGAAUAUUGGUCAAUGGGCGGAAGCCUGAACCAGCCAAGUCGCGUGAGGGAAUAAGGCCCUACGGGUCGUAAACCUCUUUUGCCGGGGAGCAAGGGCGGGGACGUGUCCCGGCCCGGAGAGUACCCGGAGAAAAAGCAUCGGCUAACUCCGUGCCAGCAGCCGCGGUAAUACGGAGGAUGCGAGCGUUAUCCGGAUUUAUUGGGAUUAAAGGGUGCGUAGGAGGGCUUUUAAGUCAGCGGGAAAAAUUCGGGGCACAACCCCGUACGGACGGUGAAACUGG